rnacentral:piRNA from 1 species
AGGAGAGGAACAUUUACAGAGCACGGAGU